rnacentral:rRNA from 1 species
AUUGAACGCUGGCGGCGUGCCUAAUACAUGCAAGUAGGACGCAGUUGCGAACGGGUGAGUAACGCGUAGGUAACUGACUAUUAGAGGGGGAUAACUAUUGGAAACGAUAGCUAAUACCGCAUACUAGUAGAUGGACCUGCGUUGUAUUAGCUAGUAGGUCGGGUAAUGGCCUACCUAGGCGACGAUACAUAGCCGAGCUGAGAGGGGGAUCUGCCAAACUGGGACGGAGACACGGCCCAGACGCCUACGGGAGGCAGCAGUAGGGAAACGUCGGCAAUGGGGGGAACGCUGACCGAGCAACGCCGCGGGAGUGAAGAAGGUUUUCGGAUCGGAAAGCUCUGUUGUUAAGGAAGCGGUACUUAACCAGAAAGGGACGGCUAACUACGUGCCAGCAGCCGCGGUAAUAC